AUUGAACGCUGGCGGCAGGCUUAACACAUGCAAGUCGAGCGGGGUGAUGGUGCUUGCACUAUCACUUAGCGGCGGACGGGUGAGUAAUGCUUAGGAAUCUGCCUAUUAGUGGGGGACAACAUCUCGAAAGGGAUGCUAAUACCGCAUACGUCCUACGGGAGAAAGCAGGGGAUCACUUGUGACCUUGCGCUAAUAGAUGAGCCUAAGUCGGAUUAGCUAGUUGGUGGGGUAAAGGCCUACCAAGGCGACGAUCUGUAGCGGGUCUGAGAGGAUGAACCGCGACACUGGGACGGAGAAACGGCCCAGACUCCUACGGGAGGCAGCAGUGGGGAAUAUUGGACAAUGGGAGGAACCCUGAUCCAGCCAUGCCGCGUGUGUGAAGAAGGCCUUAUGGUUGUAAAGCACUUUAAGCGAGGAGGAGGCUCUUUUGGUUAAUACCCAAGAUGAGUGUACGUUACUCGCAGAAUAAGCACCGGCUAACUCUGUGCCAGCCGCCGCCGUAA
rnacentral:rRNA from 1 species